CUCUGAGUGAACAACAAAAUUCUUCAAACUUUUCAAGAACCAGGAACUUUUUCCAAAAUUCCAUAAAUCAAUGACUACCUCUACAAUUUAUACAAUAGGAGUAUCAUUUUUUAAUUCAUCAUUUUCACCCCACACACAAAAAAUAUCUUUUGUAUAUACUAAAACAACCGUGUAUUUUCUUCCCCCCUUGUUCCUGCUCACCUUCUACAAAUUCGUACCGCAAAUUUCUCAAAUUUCCACUUUCCUCACGAUUUUCCCAAUUGGAUUCCUGCAAAUUUAAUCCUUGGAAUGGUCUUUAACAAACGGGUAUCUCAAUUUCAGCAAAUCCUCCAAAAAUGGUAAAUUUUCUCAUCUAGGUGACUGAAUUUGUGGUUUUUUGGAUGUAAAUUUGCCUGUUUUGAUCUGAAUCCGUUGAAAUUCGAAUUGGGUUCAAGUUGUAGGGAGAGCAGCAAAAUGUAGAGGAAAGGUUAUUUAUGCUUCAUGUUUCAUCGUUUGGUAUUGGAGCUCCGGAAGCUUUUGGUGGUUAAGGUUAAUAAUUGCGAAAAUUGGGAUAAUCUGGAGAAUGGAUAACAAACCCAAAGUUUUUUAAAGUCAUUUUCAAAUAGCGAUGAUUGUUGCAUUGGUUGAAAGGAUGCUGGAGAAUGGAGAAGGAGGCUGGAGUGAAGGAAUGGUUGGAGUAAAGGCUGUCUUUGUUGAAAAAGGAAAAGAAUGUCUUUGAAAAUGGAGGAGGAUACCAAAUUACGUUAACUGGUUUCUUUAAGCUUUUUGUUCAAAAAGAAAAUUAAAGAAAAAAUUGAAGAGUUGAGCUCCGAUGACUUAAACUUGGGUUAAGUGGCCAUAUUCUUAACCUUAGGUCCCAAUUGGUGACAAAAAAAAGUUGAGUUCCUGAUUGGUGAUUUUUGGCAAAACUCAGACCCCGAUUAUGGGGUUAACUCAAUUAUAUUUAGGACUAAUAAUUUAAUGAUAAGGGUUCUUUAGAGGAAUAGCGUAGGAUACGAAGUACAUUGUUUUUGGGUUGCGGAUUUUACAUAAUCAAAAUUUAAGGCCCUUUAUAGUUCACCUUAUUUUAGGACCUUGUUAUUUAUUUUAGAUUUAAUCAGAUCAGAAAAAAAUAAGUUCAAAUCAGAUCAUAUCAGAAAAAAUAAGUUUAGAUCAAAUUAUUAUUAUUAUUAUUAUUAUUAUUAUUAUUAUUAUUAUUAUUAUUAUUAUAUAAAGUCAGCUCCUGAGGGCUUUUAAGUAAAUUAACUUUUCGUGUCCCCUUUUGAAAAGACUAAAACACCCUCUCCCCUUUAACUUUCAAACCCUUCGCGUAAAACCCCAUUCACCUGUACGCCGCUUCACUCUCAUCUUUCUCUCUCCUCCCUUCGCUCAAUGAUCUUCGGUUCUCUCUCAUCUUCGAUCUCAUCCUCAGGCUUAACAUGAAGACGGCCCAUGAUUUGUUGGAGGUAAUGAAGAAAUACACUAACUUGAAUUUGGAUUUCGCAAUCCCUCUUCGUCGAAGGUGGCGUCUUGGGUGGCUUGGAUUCCCCGCAUUCUUCUACUCCUCGCCAAGGCUCAAAGCAUAAGGAUUACAGGCGUAUCAAAAGCUCCUUGACAAUGUGGGCAAAGCUCUUGAGCAUCCAGUUGUAGAUUUUAAUCAAGUGGAAAAUCAUGCUCAUCAGUUUAAGGGGAGUAGUUCUAGAUGACCACGAGGCUGGUGGAAGUGAAUUGGGUACCUGGCAUGCUAGAUUGACUUCUAAUUCAUCUCAAUUGCCGAUUUUGGCUAUUCAAAUGACAUGUUUGAAAAUAUAUAUUAUGUGGUAUCUCACUGUGCUUCAUAAUUAUGAGUCAAGAGUUAAGACAGUAACGGGAGAAAACUGCUUAAUCCUGUUCAUUCAUGAGAUGCUAAUCGGAUAAAUUAAUGUACUUAUCCCUUUACAAUCGGAUAAAUUAAAAUCUAAAUAAUACCGAUAGAUGUUUGCUAAAUAAAGGUAGACGUUUGCUGACUCUGAAGGAAAUAAUGCCCUUGGUCCAAGUAUGCAUUCAAUGUUAAGUCUAAUAAAUGCGGUUCAGUAUUAAUUAACAAGUUAAUAAUUCAGUGAGAUCAAGUGAGCUGAAUGCCUAGCUAGAGGCCGCUUCAGUUCAAGUAGAAUUAAUGAUAUUAAUCCACAGCUUACUCUUGAUUGAACCCGUAGGGUCACACAAAUAGUACGUAAACGGAUCAAGUAUUUAAUGGCAUUAAAUACUCCAUCUAUGGAUAUUCGGAAUCGACGGAUCUUGGUUUCAGUGGGAGCUGAGAUCGUCACAGGCAAGAAAUGAAUACUCCGGAAACGAUGAUAUUGCCGGAAACGGAAAUAUGGAUCGUAUCGGAAAUAUAAAUAUUAUCCAAGUCGUAGUUGUUGCCGGAAACGGAAACAUGGUACGUAUCGGAAAAUAUUAUCGGAAAUGGAAAUAUUGCCGGAAUCGGAAAUAUUGCCGGAAACGGAAAUAUUGUCAGAAUCGGAAAUAUUAUCGGAAUCGGAAAAUAGUUCCGGAAACGGAAAUAUUAAAUAUUUUAUCGAAACGGAAAUUAAUUCCGGAAUCGGAAAUAUUAAAUAUUGUUCGUAUCGGAAAUGAAUUCCGGAAUCGAGAAUUUAAUCGGAAGCGCAUCGUACGAAUUAGCAUCGGACGAGGCCUGCCAGACGAAGGCCCAGCACGAAGCCGGGCCAUCGCCCAGCAAGCCAAGCGCAACAACCACACGCCAAGCAUGCGACCAGGCCCAGCGCAAAAGCCAGGCCCAGCCGAAGCUUGGGCGCGCGCGCGGGGCUGCGAUGAGUGGGCUGGCGCUGUGCGUGGGCCGCAAGGCCUGCGUGCGGUGCUAGCGUAUUACUCGAAGUGUGUUACUCGAAUCCUAAGGCUACCGGGAUUCGUCAUAUGAUUAAAUCUAAUCCUAAAAGAUUUAGUUUAUUUAAUUAGAGUCCUAGUAGGAUUAUAAUUAAAUAAAUUAGUAUCCUAAUAGGAUUCCAAAUCCUUUUCCAUAACUCUAUAAAUAGGUGCCUAGGGUCACAUAUUUACAACGAGUUUUUAAGUAUUCAAAGUGAGUUUUUGAGAGAAAAAUUCAGUCACCCAUUUGCCUAAAAGUGCCGAAAAUAAUAGUACCUUAAGGGCGAUUCUAGUUGGUCAAUCUUAAGGCGGAUCCGGACGUGCUGUGGACUAUCUACGGAGGGACGACACUUGGAGUCCUAAAGACUUGUUCUUGUUCGGUUCGGGCGCAGCUAGGGAAGGCACGCAACAAAGACUAUGCAUCUAAACUAUGCUAAAUGAUUAUGUGUAAAUAAUAUGUAUUCCUGACUUAAUGGUUGUUUCCGCAUGAUUUAUGAAUUGUCAUAUGUAUCAUAACCUAACAGUGGUAUCACGAGCCUCUUAUUAUUUUCAUAAUCUAAAUUGCAUGA